rnacentral:rRNA from 1 species
CCUACGGGAGGCAGCAGUGAGGAAUAUUGGUCAAUGGCCGGAAGGCUGAACCAGCCAUGCCGCGUGAAGGUCAGUGCCCUAUGGGCGUUAAACUUCUUUUGUGCGGGAGCAAUAAUGGUCACGUGUGGCCAGACGAGAGUACCGUACGAAUAAGCAUCGGCUAACUCCGUGCCAGCAGCCGCGGUAAUACGGGGGAUGCAAGCGUUAUCCGGAUUUAUUGGGUUUAAAGGGUGCGUAGGCUGUGAGGUAAGUCAGCGGUGAAAUGCCCCCGUUCAACGGGGUGAAGUGCCAUUGAUACUGGCUGGCUGGAGUGCGGAUGCGGUGGGAGGAAUGUGUGGUGUAGCGGUGAAAUGCAUAGAUAUCACACAGAACACCGAUUGCGAAGGCAUCUCACGAAUCCGCGAUUGACGCUGAUGCACGAAAGCGUGGGUAUCAAACAGGAUUAGAUACCCGGGUAGUC